CACGUAGGGUGCGAGCGUUGUCCGGAAUUAUUGGGCGUAAAGAGCUCGUAGGCGGUGUGUCGCGUCGGCCGUGAAAACCUGGGGCUUAACUCUGGGCGUGCGGUCGAUACGGGCAUCACUGGAGUUCGGCAGGGGAGACUGGAAUUCCUGGUGUAGCGGUGAAAUGCGCAGAUAUCAGGAGGAACACCGAUGGCGAAGGCAGGUCUCUGGGCCACUACUGACGCUGAGAAGCGAAAGCGUGGGGAGCGAACAGG
rnacentral:rRNA from 1 species